UCAAGCGUUUAAGGGCGUGUGGCGGAUGCCUUGGCACUGAAAGCCGAUGAAGGACGUGGUAUACUGCGAUAAGUUACGGGGAGCUGUAUGCAAGUUUUGAUCCGUAAAUUUCCGAAUGGGGAAACCCACCACUUUAUGUGGUACUUUAAACUGAAUUCAUAGGUUUAAAGAGACAACCUGGAGAACUGAAACAUCUAAGUAACCAGAGGAAAAGAAAUCAAUUGAGAUUCCGUUAGUAGUGGCGAGCGAAAGCGGACUAGGCCUGUAGAUUUGUUAAAAAAAUUUGAAUAGUUUGGAAAAGCUAACCAUAGAGGGUGAUAGUCCCGUAUAAGUAAUGUUUAACAAAUUUCUUGAGUAAAGCGGGACACGUGAAAUCCUGCUCGAAUAUAGGGGGACCACCCUCUAAGCCUAAAUACUCUUCAGUGACCGAUAGUGAACUAGUACCGUGAGGGAAAGGUGAAAAGAACCCCUAUUAGGGGAGUGAAAUAGAACCUGAAACCGCAUGCCUACAAUCAGUCGAAGCUCUUUUUAGAGUGACGGCGUACCUUUUGUAUAAUGGGUCAGUGACUUAAUUUAUUAAGCAAGCUUAAGCCAUCUAGGUGUAGGCGCAGCGAAAGCAAGUCUUAAUAGGGCGAUUAGUUUAAUGAAUUAGACCCGAAAACGAAUGAGCUUACCAUGAGCAGGUUGAACGCAAGGUAACACUUGCCGGAGGACCGAACCAGUUGACGUUGAAAAGUCUUUGGAUGACUUGUGGUAAGGGGUGAAAGGCCAACCAAAUUCGUAGAUAGCUGGUUUUCCGCGAAAACUAUUUAGGUAGUGCGUUGAAUAAACAUAUGUUUGGAGGUAGAGCACUAAAUGGGCUAGGGGAGAGAAAUCUUUACCAAACCUAAUAAAACUCCGAAUGCCAAACAUAAUUCCUCAACAGACAGACUGUGGGUGCUAAGGUCCAUGGUCGAGAGGGGAACAGCCCAGAUCACCAGAUAAGGUCCCUAAAUCAUGAUUAAGUGUGAAAGGAUGUGGAGAUUCCAUAACAGCCGGGAGGUUGGCUUAGAAGCAGCCAUCCUUUAAAGAUAGCGUAACAGCUCACCGGUCUAAUAGAGUUUCUGCGCCUAAGAUGUAACGGGGCUCAAAUCAUGUACCGAAUCUGUGGGUGUAUAAAGUUUUCGAAUUUUAUACGCGGUAGCGGAACGUUCUGUAAGCCUGUAAAGGUGUACCCGCGAGGGACACUGGAGGUAUCAGAAGUGCGAAUGCUGACAUAAGUAACGAUUAACAGAGUGAAAAACUCUGUCGCCGAAAAUCCAAGGGUUCCUGCGCAAGGUUAAUCCGCGCAGGGUUAGUCGGCCCCUAAGACGAGGGCGAAAGCCGUAGUCGAUGGGAACCAGGUUAAUAUUCCUGGACCAGAUGGUAGUGACGGAUUUUGUAAAUUGUUAACUCUUAAUGGAUUGAGUUAGCUGUGAAAAAGUCCCAGGAAAUAGCUCCAUCAUAAGACCGUACCCUAAACCGACACAGGUGGAUUAUUAGAGUAUAAUUAGGCGCUUGAGAGAAUGAUGUUGAAGGAACUCGGCAAAAUGCCUCUGUAACUUCGGAAGAAAGAGGACCUUUUUUAAGGCAACUUAAUUAAGGUGGCACAAGCCAGGGAGAAGCGACUGUUUAUCAAAAACACAGGACUCUGCUAACACGUAAGUGGAUGUAUAGGGUCUGACGCCUGCCCGGUGCUGGAAGGUUAAUGCGAUGGGUGCAAGCUCAUUUCUGAAGCCCCAGUAAACGGCGGCCGUAACUAUAACGGUCCUAAGGUAGCGAAAUUCCUUGUCGGGUAAGUUCCGACCU
rnacentral:rRNA from 1 species